UUUUCCAGAAUAUAACCAAUGCAGGAUGACCUAGAUAUCGGGAGAAACAGAUAACGAUGGACGCCAGAUCUGAGAGGCUGUUUCUUGGACUUGAUUUCAGUACUCAACAAAUCAAAGCAGUUGCUAUAAAUGAUGCCCUGAAAAUUGUAAAUGAGACUGCCGUCAAAUUUGAUACAGAUUUACCAGAGUACAAAACACAGGGAGGUGUCCAUAUCCAUGAUGAUCAGGUCACAGUUACUGCCCCUACUAUUAUGUGGGUCAAGGCAUUUGACCUACUUCUGGAUAAGAUGAAGAAGGAUGGUUUCCCGUUCGACAAGGUGGCUGGUGUGUCAGGUGCUGGUCAGCAACAUGGAAGUGUGUACUGGAGAUCAGGAAGUGCUCAGAUUCUGAGAAAUCUUAGUGAGAAGACGACCCUUCAUCAACAACUACAGAACUGUUUCUCAGUUCCUGAUUCUCCAAUAUGGAUGGAUGCCAGCACAACCAAAAAUUGUAGAGAAUUAGAGGAAAAAGUUGGAGGACCUCUGAAACUGGCAGAGAUCACUGGAUCCCGUGGAUUUGAGAGGUACACUGGAAACCAGAUCAUGAAGAUUUCCCAGACGAGACCCUCCGAGUACAAAGACACUGAGAGGAUAUCAUUGGUCAGUAGCUUUGCAGCCUCUCUGCUGAUUGGAGACUAUGCACCAAUCGAUUUAAGUGAUGGGUCGGGGAUGAAUCUUCUGGAUAUUACAACCACGGCAAAAUGCAGAGUUGGAAGGUCACAUUUUCGUUAACCCCAUCGACUGUGACACAUACAUGUCUCUUGUCUGCUUUAAAAAUGGAUCUCUCACUCGAGAGAGAAUUAAGGACGACUGUGCUGAGGGCUCAUGGGAGAAAUUUUCUGAAUACCUAACAAAAACACCAACAGGAAACAACGGAAAUAUUGGAAUUUACUUUGAUGUGAUGGAGAUUCAGCCACUAGUUCAGGGAAUUUUCCGCUUUGACAGUGCUGAUCAAAAGGUGUCUUCAUUUCCACCUGAAGUAGAAGUUCGUGCUGUGAUUGAGAGCCAGAUGAUGGCAAGGAAACUCUACAUGGAGCUGAGGGGGAUGCAUAUUGGUCCUGACACUCGGAUUUUAGCCACAGGAGGGGCCUCUCUAAAUAGGGCCAUCUUACAGGUUAUUUCAGACGUCUUUGGUGCACCGGUUUUCGUCAGCGACAUCCCGAACUCGGCUGCCCUGGGAUCCUGUUACAGAGCAAAACAUGGGCUUGAUGGCUGUGACUUCUCUGAUGUUGUUCUGAAUCAUCCGCAGCCAGAGUGUGUGGCUCGACCCACAGAGGGCGCUAGUCAGGUAUACAAGGAACUUGGAAAAAGAUACAGAAAGCUAGAGCAAGCUUUAGGCAGUCAACAGUAGCUGAUACACGGAGAGUCAACAUUUAUAAAUUUUGACUGACAUUUUGAUGAAUCAUGGUGCUAUUUCUUGAAUGUAAGUUUCAUUCAUUAAAACUUAAUGAAAUGGACUACUUUUAUUCAUAUUUUUUUGAUUACAUGUAAUUAUAUACAUGCAUUUGUUAUACUAUUCUGUAUUCUGUAGAAAAUAAAUGUUAAUUG
rnacentral:misc_RNA from 1 species